UACAGAGGGUGCGAGCGUUAAUCGGAAUUACUGGGCGUAAAGCGUGCGUAGACGGUUAUUUAAGUCGGGUGUGAAAGCCCCGGGCUCAACCUGGGAAUUGCAUUCGAGACUGAAUAGCUAGGGUACGGUAGAGGGAAGCGGAAUUUCCGGUGUAGCGGUGAAAUGCGUAGAUAUUCGGAAGAACACCAGUGGCGAAGGCGGCUCACUGGUCCGGUACUGACGCUGAGGUGCGAAAGCGUGGGGAGCAAACAGG
rnacentral:rRNA from 1 species